CCCGUGCCUAAAGGCUCGCGACACCUCCUCCUUGUGCCGAGCCUCUUCUCUCGCGCCCGACGAAGGCCCUAACCGCACGAGGCGGUUUUCUUCUCCCCCUCCCAUGUACAAACCCUCGGCCAAGCCUCGUCUCUGCUGACUCUUUCUUUUCCACCUUCUUCCUUACUCCUCUGCCCGUCGCCCUCACUGUGGAGACUGCCACAGCCGACGCUUCUCUUCCCCAAGCGCCGGCGACGAUCUGCCACCACCGACCUACUGUCGCCCUCCUGUUGCAUCGCUCCGCCAUCGCCGCCAUCACACGGAGCAGCGGUGACGCCCUACAGCCGACGCCGUGCCCUAGAUCCAGAUUCGUGGUCGCCGCCGCACGGAGUAGCGCCGACCAUCGCUGGAGAUUGCUUGCGUUUGUGCCCUAGCCUUGGUCCACUGCUACCUCUGCACAGGUUAGUUUCAGACAGGAGCAAACAGUGCCGAGUCCUUCUUGUGUUUCUGCUCGACAGUGCCGAAGAUGACACAGAGCUGUGCCCUAGUCGGAUCUUGGAGUGAAGAAUUCCAGGAGCUAACAACCCUUAACGACAGCGAAUUCCAGCCAGCAACUCUUUGAUUUCAGUACAAACCAGUGACUGUGAAUUAAGAUAAAGGAAAGGAAAAGAUUUAGCAAGGAAGGCGACAAGGUGGUGGUGAUGAAGGUGUGUGAUGGCU